AUACGUAGGUGACAAGCGUUAUCCGGAUUUACUGGGCGUAAAGGGCGUGUAGGCGGCCUUGCAAGUCAGAAGUGAAAUUCCUGAGCUCAACUCGGGCGCUGCUUCUGAAACUGCAGGACUUGAGUGCUGGAGGGGAUAGCGGAAUUCCUAGUGGAGCGGUAAAAUGCGCGGAGAUGAGGAGGAAGACCGGUGGCGAAGGCGGCUAGCUGGAGAGUACCUGGGUCUGAGGGGGGAAGGCGGAGGGGGAAAAAAGGAGUAGUGGCCCAGGUGGUCCUCGCCGGAAACGAUGAAUACUAGGUGUAGAGGGUAUCGGCUCGCUUUGUGCCGCAGUUAACACAAUAAGGAGUCCGCCGGGGGAGUACGGCCGCAAGGUUGAAACUCAAAUGAAUGGGCGGGG
rnacentral:rRNA from 1 species